UUUUUUUUCACAACUUCAUUUGUUCAUCGGAUGAUUUGUCCUUGAAUGACGAAGAGAUUGUGGUGGCUACAUUGGUCGUCCAUGACCACAUCGCUAGGCAGCGGCCUAGGUUCAAGGAUCAGUCCAGGGCGCGCUCCGGCCUUGAACCACAAUAGGGAGAGCGGCCACGCCUAGGUUCAGGAGAUUAUUUCCUUUUCAUGUGUUGAAGACAAUUUAAAUUGGGUUGUAAAACUAUUUGAUUGUGUUUGUGUUCGGAUGUGAAACUAUUUGAUUGUUAAACUAUUUGCAAUGUUUGAUUUAUUUGUUUGUAACUAUUUGCAAUGUGUAUAGUUUAAAAAAUGUAUGCACGGAGGCUCCAGCCGACCGUGGCGGACAAGAUGUUUGGGCGCAUAGUCGGCGCAUCCAAAAAAACGACCGGACGUUGUCUCCAUUGCUCUACCGAAACGGACAAGAUUAAUGUUUGUUUGGGGUCAUUGAAGCAGACCUGAGACGGUUGGUUGCUGUGCAUGUCCCUGUCUCGCCGCCGCGGUUGUAUCAUUGCUGAUGCAAGCGUGCGCGCGCGCGAGGAGUGGAGGAGACCUGCUACAUCCGCAACCUCCUAGGAGUGCGGCGUGACCUGGCUUUUCCUUUUAAUGGCUAUUUUACGGAGGACAAAAAGGAACGAGAGAGAGAGGUGUGGGCCAACAUAGUCAGCCAGAGUAGUGUGUGAUCCCGACCGGGAUCGUGUUUUUCCCAGUGGACUAAACAACAUCGAACAGGUUUGAGGUUGAGCUUAGACCCGAAUCACUGAAUAUAGGGUGUCAGACUUCAGGGAUUCGAAGUUCUGGGUUUGAUUUCGACUGGCUCUACAAAUUUAAGAUUUAAAAUAGACUUCACUCACUGCUGAAUGGUAUAUGAAAGAAAUGAAAGACACAAGCAACUGCCGAAGAAGAAGCAUAUGCUCCAACCCCGUGUUGGUGUGGCCCGUUGAAUACUGCUAUUACAUUGGAUGCCAGUCAGCACAUUGGCUCCUGCCAUCAGCCGAAUUAAACUCAAGCCCGCGACACAAUCAGAGUUGUCACUUGUCAGAGGACAUACAACCAAACAACUUUGGUGUAGACCCCGACAACUCUAAACAGGAACUCUUAGUCACAACCAAUUUCUUCAAUUACCUGAACGUAUGACAAGCAUUCAGAAACCAUAAAUUAGAGAACAAUAAUAAUAACUACUAACAUGACAAUUGCAGUCUCAUAUAUCAAAAAGACAUGGAUAUGACAUUUAAUACAACUCCAGGGGUUAUCCUCCUUUACAAAGAUUUUUUUUACCAAUGAAACAGUGUUGUACCUGGGACCAAUCAGGAGAUAAAUACCACAUGCACACCCCUUGUUAUUUCAACAAGGCGCAACACCUUUCAGCACAUUGUGGGUUUAGCAGACAACCCUUGUUAUUUCUGCAAGGCAUGUUCCAUGUUAUUUCAGUAAGGGACGACACCACUAACUCAAGCUGCACCAACCAAAAUGGCAUAACACACCAUUGUGAAGGACUCACUACACUGUAAGCACAGCUCUCACUGCUUGAGUGUUCUAGCAGAGCUGAGAAGGUUAGGUAGUUCUAGUUUCUUCAGCUCGGUCUCUGUUGCUCUCAGCCUCGGAAUGACAACUUCAGAAUCCUGUGCAGCUAUCCUCUUCCACAGCUCACUCCAAGUAGGGCGCAGGUAGCAGUACUCGUGAAACAUGAGCCCUCUCGUCCACUCGCGGUGACGGCAGUAGGUGGCCAGAUGAUCGAUGAGGGUAAAAGGCCGCACUGAGGUUGGAAGCACCCCAUUCCUGAUGUCUUGUGACUGGCUCCGUGUCACCGUGCUCUCGAACAAGCCAUUAUCAAGUGAGUACACCUUAACAGGGUCCUCACUGGGCUUGGCAAAGUAGACACAGUUGGCGCUAAUCGAAGGAAGAUCCCUGGAUGAGACGGACAAGCACCGGUCGCGGCUGAUGAACAGCGCCCGGUCGCCGAGGCUGGUCACCCGCACGAGCUCCCGACGGCGACAAGCAUGGCUCCCAUGGACUCCACAAGGUAGUAGAGGUAGCUCUCAGCAUAACCAAGCUCUUUUGGCACCUCGGCCACCACCAGAUUGGCAUGCGGAUCAUGAUGAACUGGAUACACCUGCACCAGCUGCCUCCCAGCUCGCGUCACACCGUAUAGCCCGCCGUUGAACGGCAAAGUGUUGGAGAAUUGGAUAUUGGUGUGGAUGAUCUUCCAGCCCUUGUCACCGGGCUGAGCGCAGAUCACCAAGGGCAUGUUGGGGAACCAGAUCACGACGGCAAUGGAGCUGGGGCCGGCGACACACACCGUGGCGUUCAUCCAGACGAACGAGUCCAUGGUGAACGAUUCCUGCUUGCUGAGCACACAGUGGAUGAAGGUGGCCAGGUGGGGCAGCUCGACGACGACGCGGGUGAAGGGGUGGACAACACGGAUGACUGCGGCGCGCGUGUCAAGCACGAUUAGGAGGCCGUCAGUGAAGCCGACGAUCCGGUGCCGCCGGAGCCCCGGCAGGGAGAGCCUGGAAACCCUGCUGGUGGCCGUGUGGAAGAAGGUGAUCGCGGCGUCUUCGACCGGGCGGACGCCGUUGCCGUCGCAGAGGGCGACCCAGCCACGCGGGUGGAAGCGGCGGGCGGCCAGCGUGGCGUCCCGCGGGCUGACCGUCGACGCGCGCCAGUGCGAGCACACGAAGCGGAACCGCAUGUACUCCGUCAUGUCCUCCGCCAGCAGCCGCUCGGCGAUGAGGCUGGUGAUGUCGGGGUGGAGCGACGUCCAAUCCGGUGCCUCCGCCUCCGCCGUCGCCCGGCGCUUACUAGGGAACGCGUCGGCGUCGCCGUAUGCCCUGCGCUUGCCUCCCAAUACCGGCGCCCCCAUCCUCUUCCCCCGUGCGCCGCCCCUCCGUCCACACUCCCCCGGCGGCCGGAACAGGGAGAAUACCUUUCCCCUGUGCGCCGCCACACUCCGCCGGCGGCCGGCACAAAAAGGUGAGACCUUUCCCCGGGCAAGAAGACCUAGAUCUGGCGAGAUCGAGUGGAUCGCCUCGCCUCGGGGACGGGCGCUCCCCUGCCGGGCCAGUAAAUAUAUAGUCGCUAGGGACUAGGCGCCGCUCCGAGAGGCCACCGUAUUCGUCUCCCUCCGGAGUCCGAAAUGCAGCCGGCUCCGACGAAGUUCGGAACUCGACUUGAAGGAGUAGAUCGAGCGGUAACCGCGUCGAUCCAGUCCGAUUGAGCCCCGGGGCGCGUGGGAGGUGGGUGGGGAGGGGGUCCUCNNNNNNNNNNNNNNNNNNNNNNNNNNNNNNNNNNNNNNNNNNNNNNNNNNNNNNNNNNNNNNNNNNNNNNNNNNNNNNNNNNNNNNNNNNNNNNNNNNNNNNNNNNNNNNNNNNNNNNNNNNNNNNNNNNNNNNNNNNNNNNNNNNNNNNNNNNNNNNNNNNNNNNNNNNNNNNNNNNNNNNNNNNNNNNNNNNNNNNNNNNNNNNNNNNNNNNNNNNNNNNNNNNNNNNNNNNNNNNNNNNNNNNNNNNNNNNNNNNNNNNNNNNNNNNNNNNNNNNNNNNNNNNNNNNNNNNNNNNNNNNNNNNNNNNNNNNNNNNNNNNNNNNNNNNNNNNNNNNNNNNNNNNNNNNNNNNNNNNNNNNNNNNNNNNNNNNNNNNNNNNNNNNNNNNNNNNNNNNNNNNNNNNNNNNNNNNNNNNNNNNNNNNNNNNNNNNNNNNNNNNNNNNNNNNNNNNNNNNNNNNNNNNNNNNNNNNNNNNNNNNNNNNNNNNNNNNNNNNNNNNNNNNNNNNNNNNNNNNNNNNNNNNNNNNNNNNNNNNNNNNNNNNNNNNNNNNNNNNNNNNNNNNNNNNNNNNNNNNNNNNNNNNNNNNNNNNNNNNNNNNNNNNNNNNNUAAGACAUAGGAGGGACAAAAAAAACAGUCAAAAAAGCAUAGGAAUUGUAGAGAAUUAGCAUCCACAUGGUUAGCAAAGACUCAGAUCUGGAAAAGCAGGUGCUGUUCCAAAAAAACACAUGCUUGUAGGCAAGUUGAGUCGACAGGGUUGGCAAGUUGAGUUAUAUCUGCAGGCAAGUUCUGUUUCCCCCCUAGUUUUUGUUGGGAUGUAUGGAUUUACACUAGUUUCUGGAAAAAUGUAGGCAAAUCAUGUUCUGUUUCCAGGCAAUUGCUGUAAUGUAAAAAAAUUGGGCAAGUGUUGUAAUGUAAUGCAGGCAAGUCUUGUCCUAGUGCAGGCAAGUGCUGUAAUGUAAUGCAGGCAAGUCUUGUUCUAGAACAGAUAGUAGUACCUAAUAAGAUGCCUUCUUUUGGACAUUGUGAAAAAAUUUCAAGAUCAGCUGUAAAAUUUCAUGUAUAGUGGGGCUAGCCAAGUUGAUGAGAUAAAAAAUGUGGGCAAGUACUGUAAUACAAAUGUAGGCAAGUCCUGUUUCUACUACAGGCAAGUGUUGUAAAAAUAGAAGUUUUUUAUUCAGUAAUGCAGAAAAGAUAUGUAGCAUGAGAGAUAGGUAGAAAGAAGUACCUAAUAAGUUGCCUUCUUUUCGACUUCCUUGCCAACUUCACAACCUUACUACCAAUAAAAAAUGGUGCUUCAGUAUUUGUGAAUCCUGUAUACAAAACCUGUGGCAACCCCAGAUAGAACUUUGGCAGAAGUGAACCAGAAAGCUACGAGACAUUAGGCAAAUGAACAACAUAGUAGUAUAAGGAUGUUCUGCAAACGAGUUAUACAAAGCUAUGUCAUGUCCAAGCACGCAUGUUCGAAACACAUAUCAUAUAUGGUCCACGGCAUCACAAAAAGCUAACGAAAAAAGAAAAGAAAAACUACAUAGUAUUCUUCUGCCUUGUUCAUAUAUCUGCCACUGUAACUUCAUCAGACACGAAGAAAAUGGAGAAUCAUAAGCCAUCUCUUUCGCUUUUUCGCAUUUCCUGAUAAAGAACAAAGGAUAAACAGAAAAACAUUAAAAAGAGCCGCUGUUGCAGAAUGAAGGGCAUUGAAAGAUAUUAAAUGCAAGACAGAAAAUGAACAUUCAUUAUUGCAUCAAAUCUAUAUUGAACAUUUGCUUCUAGAGUUGCCUUAUUUAGUUGCCUGUAAAAUCAUUAUUUCCUUUUUGUCAAAACAGGGUGGAGAUGAUUGACUUAAAUGAAUUGCCUGAUGAUGAUGGUCAUUCUGAAGUGCGUUUUACGGGUGGAAUUGGAGUUGAAGACCCCAUGUACUGCACGCAGCCUAAUGCCCCACUACCUGGUGGUGUCUACAAUGAAGUUGUAGGAGAAUCGCCUAAUCCCAUCAGCACCCAACAUGCUCCUGCUGUGCCUGAAGAAGCUAUGCAGACAGAAGGCGACACUUACGAUGACACAACAACGUUUGCUGAAACAGGUGGAACUAUUGGACAAGGGGUUGUGGGAAAUGAUAAUGACGAUGAAGCUUGGUCCCAACCAAGAGAGCCUUUCAUAGGCAUGAGGUUUGAUACUCUUGAGUGUGCUCAAGAACACUACAAUGCCUACGCUCUCCGACUUGGGUUUUCAAUCAAGAUGAACACUUCUAGGAAAAACACAAAAACUGGAAAGCUGGAGAAGCAACAAUUUGUUUGCAACAAGUUUCGAAAACCAAAAGUUGAUGAUGGAGGUGCGGAAACUGUCCCUGCCCUAGAUGUGAUUGAGGACACUAAUGGAGAUGCAGAAGAUGGUGCGGACGAUGAGAUCGCCUUCCUUGAUGAUGAGUGCAGGAAAAAAAGAAGUCUAAGAAAAGAAAGCGGGAUAUAAUAGUGCAGACAGGGUGCAAAGCAAGGAUGGUUGUGAAGCUAAAGGAUAGUCGGUGGGAGGUGGUUUUCUUUAUUGCUGAACACAAUCAUGCAUUGGUUGAUAAGCCAUCACUAACUAAGUACCUUCGAUCACACCAAGGCAUCCCCCCAGAAGAGAAACUGUUCCUGAAAAAUCUUCAUAAUUGUAAUUUGACCACAGGUGUGUGCACUUUUCAAAGAAUACAUUCUGCAUUACUACAUUAGCAUUCCAAAAAACUGUGUUUACAUUUCAUGCAAAAAAACACUCUGCAUUUACUACACUUGUUUUAGUGCUCCAACAUAGUCACCUUGACAACUUGAGCAACUUGGGAAGCACAGCUGCAGCAACUAGUUGCAAACCAAAAAAAUACAGGCAACCUGGCAGCUAUAAGUUAAGCAAAUUGGGUAUGCAGCCUGAGCAAUUUGUGGCUUCUACUAGGUAGGCAACCUGACAGUUAUAGGUUAAGCAAGUUGGGUAUGCAGGCUGAGCAACUUGUGGUUAUCUACUAGGUAGGCAACCUGACUGUUAUAGGUUAGGCAAGUUGUGUAUGCAAACUGAGCAACUUGUGGUUCUCUAGUAGGUAGGCAACUUGCCAGUUAUAUGUCAGGCAAGUUAUGUAUGCAAAUUGAGCAACUUGUGGUUCUCUAGUAGGUAGGCAACUUGCCAGUUAUACGUCAGGCAAGUUGUGUAUGCAAAAUUGAGCAACUUGUGGUUCUGCUACAUAGGCAACCUGAUAGUUAUAUGUCAAGCAAGUUGUGUAUGCAACUUGAGCAACUUGUGCAUUGAAGCCUGAUUUUUUUGGCUGCCUUUUGUUGCAGGUCGUAUGAUGAACAUCAUGUCUGAAUUUUAAGGUUCAGAGCUAAUUGUGCCUUACACAACUAAAGCGAUAUCAAAUCUGAAAUCAGGCUUGAAUACGUUUGACACAAAGGAGGGAGAUAUGAUCGAGAUAGUUUCCUACUUCAAGGAUCAACAACAAAAUGACCCUGAUUUUUUCUACAAGGUCAAAUAUGAUGAGGAGGAUAGGGUUGUCAAUAUGUUCUGGGUUGAUGGAGCAACACGUAGGGCGUAUGCUGAGGCUUAUCAUGAUUGUGUCUCUUUUGACACAACAUACAUGACAAACAUGUAUAACAUGCCAUUUGCGCCAUUCAUUGGUAUCAACCGCCAUGGACAGUCGAUCAUGUUGGGGUGUGGGUUUGUUAGGUAAGAGUUGGAAACAAGCUUUGAUUGGUUGUUUGGGGCGUUUCUUGAAGCAAUGAGUGGUCAAGCACCUGACAACAUCAUAACUGACCAAGAUAUUGCAAUGGCUGAAUCGAUUAAGAACAUUUUCCCUGGAACUGUGCAUCGGCGAUGUCAUUGGCACAUCAUGAAAAAAGCUCAAGAGAAGCUCGGGUCAAUGUUGGGCAGGAACCCUGGAUUGUCAAAGGAUUUCAACACAUGUGUAGACUUUAGCUUCACACCGGAAGAAUUUGAGGCAAAAUGGGCUGCUCUAAUGAUGAAAUAUCAGGCUGCUAUUAGCACACACUUUGACAAACUCUACGAGUACUGUGCAACAUGGGUGCCGUGCUACUUCAAGCACCGGUUCUACCCAUUCCUACAAUCGACACAAAGAAGCGAGGGGUUCAAUGCUGUGCUGAAGCGGUAUGUGAACCCACAUGGCUCUAUCCUAAACUUUGUGAAGCAGUAUGAAAAGAUUCAAACACAUGUGCUUGUGCGGGAGGGUGUGCAAGAUUAUAGGAUAGAGCACUUGCAAACUGAUUUGUGGUCACCUUUCCCCAUUGAGAAGCAGGCAUACGAAACAUACAGUAGAGACUUGUACAAAAAGUUUCGUAAUGAGUUUGAAAUGAUUGGGAGGUACAAUGUACGUCCCCGGGGUGCACAUUUAUAUGAGCUUGAACCUAAUCAGGAAUGGGUUGCUAAGUAUGGGGACAGGCACUACUUUGUGUCCGUUGAAAGUGAUGCAGGCAACUACACUUGCGAGUGCUGCAAGAUGGACAGAGAUGGUAUCCUCUGCUGCCAUAUCUUGAAGGUAUUUACCCACCUUGGAGUGGAUGAAAUACCACCGCAAUACAUUCUUAAGAGGUGGACUCCCCUAGCAGUUCCUGAUGCGCCCCCCGCCGUCCAAGAACAAGCAGAUGAAAUGCCCCCUUUGUCAAAGAAGCAAAUGCGACAUACAAACCUGCAGAUGGAUUUUGCAAGCUUGGCCAAAGUUGCCUGUGCAUCCGAUGCUGCUGCAGAAGUUCUGAAGAAGCAUAUGUGUGCGGCUCGAACGGAGCUUACACGCUAAAAUUGACCAAGAAAAAGAAACCUCCAGUGGCUACGCGUGCCAGACGCACUCAGCCUGAAACAACUACUGAUGCUCCCACUCAGCCACCAUCGUUUUCGGUGCAAACACCUGCUCCAUCUCGUAGUGGGAAUACGCAAACAACUACUGGUGCUCCGCCGCCGCCGCCCUCAGAGGGUGCUGGAGGCUCAGGUGCUCCUGUUCCACUGUAGCCUGACACCCCUAGAGGUUCUGCACCUACUCCAACUAUUCCAAGGGACACACCGAAGUCCAACACGAAAGGGAGAGCGAAGUCUAAACGAAUUGAAUCAGCACUGGAACUACACCCCAAAAGGAAGAAAAAAUGUAGUUUCUAUGGUUCUGUUGACCACAAUGCAGCGAGCUGCGAGGCAAGAUUGGUGUGAAGGCCAAAGGAGGAAGCGAAAAAAUGCCCCCAAGUUUUUUUGUCAUUGUUCAAUGAGAGAGCUCAUGAAGCUGUAUUGACAUUUUGGGCAACUUAGAACCAUUUUUGUCGUGUGCUUGAUACUUGGUGUUGAUUUUUCAUUUGUCCUUGCUGUGACCAUAUAUACGUUUCUUUUCCUUGCUUAAGCAAAGUGGUAGUUGGUAAAACAUUUGUGAAAAACGGAGGCACUAUUUGCUAGCAUUCCUAUAACUACUUGCCUGCUCUUCUUAAAAGAGUUUGUCUAGUUUCAAAAUAUUUUUUUGCGUUCCAACUUUGGCCAAGUACAUGAACUAUGAUCCCAUAGGUACUUGAUGGUCAAAAAUAGCAAAAUUCACUGAAUGAGUGCAAAAAAAAGGAAGGUGUGAUAAAAAAUACCUACGGUAGUUCCAGGAUUUCCUUCCAAGGAGCUUUGUUGUGAAUAUCUGAGACCCAGAUGCUUGUCAGCUGCUUCCUGAUGUUUGGAAUAUCACUUGGUUCGUAUUUUGGAACAGCCCUAGCAACCCAUUUGUUGGUGUUCAUCAGCCCGUAAAUGCCACAGUCGGUGCUGUUUGUAACAAACAGGAGGCAAGAAAAAUUUGUUUGAGAAACUGCACGUAAGUAAAAACUGGUUUUUGAAUAAUUGAUAUUGGGAGAAGUUGCUUACUCAUUGUUCUGCCUCGGGACAUCGAUGUCGACUAGCGGAUACUUAUCCAGCACAACACGUGAGUGGCCAUAAUGAUGCUCCCAUAAACUACGAACAGUUGCUGCUAUCAACCUAGCGUUCUUGUCCAAGACAGGAUUGUCUAGUGUCCUCCAGGAAUCAAGGACUUCGAACCUCUUGUCUCUUAUGUUCAAGUUAAACACCCAGUAAUGAUUCCCUGAUACUGGUUUUUCUAGAUCAAUGUUCUCUAGGAUAGGAAACAUAAUCUGGAUAGAAAAGCAUUUUCCAGAAAAAACAAAUACGAGAUGCUUGUAAAGAAUAUGAGGCAAUUUGAAUGCUUGUAAAAAAAUGAGGCAAUUUGAGAAGAAAGUACUUAGAAAAGAAAAGAGGGGAAAACAUUUUUUGAUGAGGCAACUUACAGGUACAACUGAGGCAACUACAUGUUUCAUAACAAGCAAGUUUAUGUGGUUUCCUUAAGUUUCAUGCUACACAAAGUUCUCCCCCGAAGCAAGGUGCAACGAAAUAUAAAAAGGUUGAGACUGAGGGCUAUCUAAAAAAUUGAGCUAGACUUGUCAUUCUACGGAAAGGAACAUAAACAACUUGCCAACUAUAUUUGAGACAAGAACUUGCAAGAUGAUGAGGCAAGUACUUGUAAUUGAUGAGGCAACUACUGGGUUAGGUAAUUCAAGCAAAAAAAUAAAAAGCAAGCAACUUACAGCUACAAAUGAGGCAACUACAUGUUUCAUAGCAGGCAGCUUUGUGGUUUUCUUAACUUCAUGUUACACAAUUGAUUCCCUUGAAGCAAAGGUGCAACGAAUAUAAAAAAGGUUCUAGACUUGUCAUUCUACACUUGCCAACUAUAUUUUUGAGGAAACAACUUGUAAGAUGAUGAGGCAUGUACAUGUAAUUGAUGAGGCAACUACUGGAUCAGGUAAUUCUUUCCUGAAAAAACCAAGCAACUUACAGCUACAAUUGAGGCAACUUCAUUUUUCAUAGCAGGCAAGUUGUGUGAUUUUCUUGACUUUCAUGUUACACAAGUUCUUUCCUGAAGCACAGGUGUAUUGAAUAAAAAAAGGUUAAGUCUGUGUCUCUCUAAAAAUUUGGGCUAGACUUGUCAUUCUAAGAGAACAACAUAAACAACUUGCCAACUAGAUUUGAGGCAAGAAUUUUUGGAAGAUGAUGAUACAAGCACUUGCAAAAAAUGAUGAGGCAACUAGUGGUUUAGGUAAUUACAGGGCAAAAAAGAAAAAGUCGCAGCUUGUUAACUUCUAUUGUUUGAAGCAAGUAGUUGCAACUUGUUACGACUUGCCAGCAAACUAAAAAAAAUAGUGUACUCACCAUGUCUUUUCGGUCCAAGUGAUUUGACUUGUUAAACCUGGCAGUAAUCUCUUUUGUAGUCCAUACCAUCUGUUGUAACCUGACCUGUAGAAAACAGAUAGACAGAAACGGAGCGAAUGAUGGAAUUUCCAUCAAGAAGGGGAGCAAAAAAGGCAAAAAGGACACUGUAAGGUGCAACUCUUACCGAGAAUUUAACUGGCAUGAUAACCUUCUUCGAGUCUGCUGGCAGGUUGUAAAUUAUAGACUGUAACCCAACUUGGAAAACAUGCGAAACGACGAAACCACCACACUUCAUGGACUCCGCAAGCUCCCUCGCAGAUACAAAGUAUCUAUCGAAGUCGAUGAUUCUUGGGCUGUACAAUAAAUUUGCACAGGACAAAAUAGAAAAGCAUGAAAAUGUAAACCUGCCUAUACAUGAGUAUUAUAGCUGCCUGAAAAAACAACAAUGAAGACGGUGACGUUACAUACAUGUUAUCUGUAUCGGGCGAUUCUUCUGCACUGCGCCUUGCAUGCAAAAUAACAGAUGCAUAUAAGCGGUUGACUUCGGGUUUGCAAUAGAAUUCCUUUUUGUUGUCAAUGCCCGUGAAAGGUGAUCUCAAAGAUGCUGAUGGCUUGAUGAGCCUCCUCUCAAAUUUGUUCGUAAUUACCUCCCCUGAACUGCUACUGCUAGAAAACUUACCACCUGACCCCACAUCUAUUUCAUUGUUCAUUUUCUCUGGUGUACUAAACAUAGCAGAAUUAACUGAAUAUUUCCCCCUUCGCUCUGCUUCAGCACAUGCUGCCUCUAGUUCCUCUUCGUCCCACACAACAUCAUCAAGGUCUAUUACUUCUCUUAUGCUCGCUGUUGCGAUAUCCUCUGUUUGCAUGUUAAGAACUUCAUCCCAUUUGUUGAUGUCCUUAUCUCCAUCUUCAGGGCCAGGUUCCAACUCAUCGAAAAUCACUCCAAAACUGGGAGCUGGGCAGUAGUCAUUGCACAUCCCGGACAACCUUCUACUCUUGAGUUCGUUGGCUGGCUCUUCAACUAUUGUCUGUGGUGGGAUGUGGAUGGGAGCAUUUGUUGGAGCAACACACUUGUCUAUAAUUUCAUUUAUUUUGUCUAUAUCAACAGUUUGAUGCUUGUGUGGUACCGGUGGCCAGUUCUCCUUGUUUGCCUCACCUUGGAGAUGUCUUGGAGGCAAACUCAGGUUGGUCUUUAGUAACUUUGCUGCCGGUCCUACAUGUCUUACAUCAGUCCCUGCAGGCAUCAUCUGUUCAGUGCCCUUCAGCUUGUUCUCUGGCGCUGCUUUAUUUCCACCGGUCAUAUCUGAGGUGGCAGGUUGGUGGUUCCUUGCAGGCAAGUCAGCAAUAGUAUUGGGCAAGUUCUGGUUGGGUAGUUGCACUGUUUGUUUCCCAGCCAUUGUAGUUGAAUUGGCAAGCUGAGGGGGCCUUGCAGCCAAAACAACAACAUGGCUAGGCAACUUCUCCUCUGGCACUGGUCUUAUUCCACCAGUCGUGUGUGAGGUGGCAGGUUGCUGGCUCCUUGCAGGCAACUCAAUAACAUUGUUGGGCAACUUCUCGAAAGGCACUGGUUGUUUUGGAUCAUUCUUUUGCACAGGAUCAACCUGAGGACUCUGGGCAGACAACUUAACGAUAGACCUAGGCAACACAUCCAGUUGGCCUUGUUGUUUUGUACCAGGGUCUGGAAAGUUGUCAAUGUGUCGGUUCUCAUCAAGCAACUUCUCUCCUGUGGUUGGCAACUUCCCCAUUAAACUUGCUUGUUUGAUAGUGCCAGGUUUGCAGCCUUGCUCAACCGGCUUCUGAACACUGUAAGUUGCCUGACAUUUUGCUUGACUUGCCUUGUUAGCCAACAUAGUUGCCUGUUGAACUUUUCCAGUUUGGCCUCUAUGUUUGAGUGAUGGUGUCAGUGCCUUUGGUUGCAUCCUUUCUGCAACUGCAACAGGGUUUGGGUCCAGGUUGAACGACACUCUCUUUUGCUUCCUUGGUGCAAUUGAUAGUAAAUCUUUCUUAGAAAAUGCUUGCGGCAGAUUUAUUCCAUAAACUGCUCGCAUGAGUUAAGUCUGCAUUUUGAGGGGACAUGACUCCUCAUGAUUGAAUUUGAUGCCUGUUUCUCUUUCCUCCUCGUGAAACACCAUCUGAUCGAAUAAUGUCCUCGCAUAUAAGUGGGGUUUCCGCCCAUCAAACACUUGUGGCAAUUCAAGUUCCUUUUGAAAAGGGUCCCACUGCUUCUUGAACUCCAUCUUGACAAUAUCUAUAAGUGAAAAUGUUUCUGCAGCAUCUGCUGCUUGCUGUUUGCUGUCAUUCUGCUUGAUAAAGAAAUUUGAUCCAGAGUCGUCAUCCCUACUGCUGCUUGAACUUCCUCCUCCUUCAUCUCCACCAGAAUUGUUUGUCCUGCUGGAACCUCCUGUAUUGGCUCCUCCGCCAUGGUCCUCAUCGCCUCCAUUUCCAUCAUCGUUUUUCUUGCCUCUACCCUUCUCAACAUGGUCCUCACUGUCCUCAUCUUCAACAACUUUCUCUGUCUCAUCAUCUUGAGCUGCCUCACUUUCCGGCACAUCAGCCUUGUUUACCUCUUCCUCAUCAACUUGUGGGGCACUGUCGUUCCCUCCUUGCACAUUGCCGAUGUCCUUGCCACUAUUGUCCUUGUUUUCUGUUGUUUUCUGUCAUUGCCUCCAUGACUGGUGUUGUCAUCAUCAUCAUCAUCUGAACCAUUGUUUCCACUAUCAUCCCCUGAGUUACCGCUGUCUGGUUCUGAUUCAUUGUCUUCGUCGUCGUCCUCAUCCUCGCUCUCUUCGUCUGACUUGAAUGAUUCCUCAUCCUCACUUGAGCUGUGUUCAAUCACUCUAGGUGUUGCUCGCUUCCUCCGAGAACUGGUAUGUUCACUUGGCUGUGGGUUAUUGUCUAUGUUCUUGCUUGAGCCAGGUUGCCCCUCGUCAAGCUUCCCUAAGCCCACUACGAGCUUCCCAAUAGCAUGUGACAUUUCAGUGCACAUUUCGUGAACCAACCCUGUUAUCCUAUUUUGCUUCUGCACACCAAAAAUAAAAAAUAAAAAAGUGUGUCAGAUAGUAAACUGAUUGGGAUCAGAAAAAUCCAAAAUGCAGCGAGAAAACAUAUAAAGGACUUUCUUGCUAUUGGAACUUACAUAGCUGUCGUAACUUUCAGGCAACCUAGCUGCAACAAAUUUUGAAACGUGGUCCAAGCUUCCAAACAAACUAUCGUUCGCACACCGUGAAAAUUCAGUCUUGAGUUGUUUUCAUCAAAACCAAAAACAAGGCGAAAGAAUAAAUAAAUGAACACCGUAUGAUCAACGCCGUAUAGGUCAGAGUAUAACUUGUCUAUGUUUAUAGUAUAAAUUUCCCUUGAUUUCACUUUGGAUUUGCCAUGUUUCAAUCAAAGAAAGGGAAGUGGGACAUUAUGAAGGUUGCCCUGUUUUGGACUGGUAAAACUGACAUAAUGAACUACACAUUUGCCAUGUUUCAAGUUAUGUUCUGUUUCCAGGCAAGUACUCUAAUAUAGUGUAAUUGCAGGAAAGUCCUGUUCGACUGCAGGCAAGUCCUGUAAUGCAAAUUUUUGAGCAAGUACUAUAAUGUAAUCAACAUCCAAUGUGUUGUACUGCUUGGAAGAGGGAAACUAUUACCUCCAAUCAUAUGUUUCUUCCACAUGCAAGUUAUGUUAGUGCUAAUACUAUGACUUGCCUUGACUUGUAACAAUAUGUUUGGCAUAAUUUGUAUAAAAACUGUUUCUGUUUUUAACCUAUAAAUUGUUUUUUGAUAAUUAACGUGUGUUUUGAUAUUAAAUAAUUCUUGCACGAACAGAACUUGCUCGCAGCUUGCCAUACACUCCUGGACCCUUCCUGUCUUUCUUCAUGACUUUUGUAAUUAGAUCAUCAUUCCAAAUACGUGCCCUUGGAAGUGUAUCAGGUAUUGGUUCAUUAACAUCCAAUGAAUCUAGGUACAAAAUCUACAACAGUUUUAAAAUGCAAAAACUAUUAGGUAAAACAUGGCUCUUUCAUGCUUGUAUUGAAAAGGAAAAACUAUAGAAAAGAAAACACAUUAGAAAUGAUUUUCCUCAUACUUACAACUAGAUGAAAAACACAACAGCAAACAGCCUUCUUCUUGUCACCAAAACCCAUGAAUGCCAAUCUUAGUUGAUCAAUAACAAAGUCGCAUAUCUUUGUAUCUUUUAUAGCACUUGUGUUGAGAAUAGCAGUGUAUCACCUUGGUGAGAUGCUCAAGCUUGUUGUUGGGGCAAGGAAGCAGGAGAAUGCAACAACAACCAAGCACGGAGGAAAUUGUCAUCGCACGCCCCAUUCAUCUUUUGAAUCAUUUUACACCAUGAAGUCAAUGUAGGGGCGUUUUUCCCUCGAUGUUGAAAAUACUGUUGAAUUCCCUUAUAACAUCUGGAUUCAUUUCAAAACAUACUUUCCUGCCACUGUUGGGCAAACCCCAUAUCCCCCUAACACUUUCUGCAUCUACUGGUAUUUUGCCUCUAUCUGGUAUAACAAUUUGAGACUUUUCUGGGUCGUAGUGUUUCAUAAUCCACUGGCUGAGAUCACCGGGCAUGCUUGUAGCUGUAAUAUCCAACAAGCCCCCAAAGUCUAUGUCUCUGAUAAUCUUUUUUUGGUCUUCGUCGAGAUCUUUGUUCAACUUAAAAAGCCUUGCAGGUGAUGACCUGUUCCUAGGACCCUGAAAAAUUGACAAUCUAAAGUUAUUUCUACUACAAGAGCAAAAAACAUUGGGGGGCACACUUUCGAAAAGCAUAUACAAGAGUUGCUUACUGGCGACACUGAUUUGCUUAAGCAUGCCUAAAUAAGUUAUAAAAAACAUCAACGGGUUUCUCUCAAAUAUACACCAGCCAAAAAAGUUGGAGAAUGAAAAAUCGAAACAGUUAUCAUGUACUGACAUGCCAUGCUUGUUGAAAACAUUUGAUUUGCUUAAAAACCACUAUAGUUGCACACACUUUCCCACUGCAUAUCAAGUUCUAGCGCGAACAGACACAUAAAAGUUGCUCACUGCCAACACUGUUUUUGCUUAAAACAUACCGUAGAACUUGGCUGCUCUUUUAUCUUUUCUCAAGAAAUUGCUAGUGCAUAAACUUCUGGCGCUUUUUGUUUGCUUAAACAUACACUGAUUUUAUCUGUACCAUGUGGCACAUGGGAAAAAGGCAUUCCAAUUCCCAUUUUCUUAAUUGACAAGAAGGGCGCAAAUUAUGUAUACAUGAAUCACAUAAGUUGCCUACCACCUACACCUCCUAAAAACGAUUUGAGAUGCAUGUACUGCAUGAGUUCCUGCUACAUAAGAAAAAUGUAGGCAACUUAUGUGUGAAAAGUAGAAACAUGAAAAUGCAACUCCACAUUUUGUUCCCAUGGUACUGUUUGCUAGUUGCUAGUAGCUAAAAAAACACAAAAUAACAUGCUGGUCAGAAAACAAAACAAUUUGUAGUCAUAUGAUCGCGGGAGGCGGGGGGUAGGGGGGAGGGAUACCUCAUUUUCAGUCACUUUCCAUUUUUUUUCUUUGGUUGUUCAUCUUGUGUAACAUCAGCUUCAUAAUCACCUCCUGCUGAUUCUGUUUCGUUGCUUUCAAUAUCCGCAGGCCGCUUCCCCCGGUUUAUGACCCGCUUGUGGCGCUUGCGUUUGUAAACAUGAGUUGUUGAACCACCUUGCUCUUCUGCUAUAGGUGCCUGUAAUAAAGUCACAAAUUUCGUUAACAAAAAAAAGUAACAACCUAAAGUGAAGUGCUAUUUACGUAGCAAAAAUCAAAAGGAAUACCUCCUAUUCAGCUUCGGGAGAGGGAGGUGGAACCGAGCCAAGCGGUGACUCUGCCGACUGCUGUUGAUCACGCUUUUUUACUUUGUUUAGCCAUCUUUACGUGUAAAAAAACAGUUUAAAAAAGCAGUUACAUACCAAAAAAGAUUGUCACCAUGGAAAAAAGUAUGAUUAUAAGCAUGCAAAUUGCCUGAUUAUUAGGAUGAAAACGCCUCAUUAUCUAGCAUUAUCAAGACGAAAAAAAGUCUGAUUAUCAGCACUCCUAUCAACACAAAAAACCCAUUGCCAUAAGUUUCCUGACUGUUGACAUGAACUUGCCCUGGACCAGUAAAGCACGAAGGGAAAAAACAGUGUGCACAUAAGUUGCCUGACAAGUGCAUGAACUUGCCUGGUCCAGAAGAAGAGUGAGAGGAAAGUGGAUAUAAAAUAGGUGGCAUGGUGAGUAUGGUACAACUCGGGGUCCCGGGCAGGACGGCAGUGCCCGAGCAUCAUACUGUACAAACCUCGCAGCCUAUCGAAUUCUGAUUACAAGUGAGAGGUGAGGUUGAUUCGAUCUCACUCGUGCCACCGCACAGAUCCUGGCCCCUUGGUCGGUCACCUACCUACGUGAAUGAAUUGCAUAGCAGGAGUAGCUCCCUUUUCCCGUUCAUUGAACAUGAAUUUUUGGCAAUCCAACUCGGCCAAUCAUCAACUACAGUGUGCACAUAAGUUGCCUGACAAAUGGCAUGAACUUGCCCGAUCCCAGGAAACACUAACAAAAACACCCGUGUGCAAUAAAAAUUGCUUGACGGUUCGCAUUAACUUGCCCGCUCACGAGAAACCCUGCUAACACCCUGUGUCAUGACUUGCCUGUUGGUGGUGAUAAACUUGCCUGCUACUGAAAAAUCACCAGCAAAAAACGCUGAAAUCUGCACGGGGUGAAAGUGAGGGAUGAGGGAGGACACGAACCCUCGAACUAGUUCGACAACGAAAUCACACGAAUCCGGCGCUUGCAUUGACAAACAUGAACAGAUAUGGAUAUUAAGGAGGGGAUUUCAUACCCAGUACCUACCCUAACCAACGUUGCUGCCCAAAACAUCGUGAUCUACGGGGAAAACCUACCUCGCACUAGCAAAUAGAUAGAAGCACAAAGUUGCUCCUAGACACAACAACAUGAACGGGAGAAAAUCCCAUCGCCAGAAAUGGAGAGAUGAGAGUAGGGGUGGGGGUUAAAAUCGCGUCAACGUACCUUCUCCUUCAUUCGCCACCGCACAAAACGAGGCCAGCCUCACUUCGCAACCGUUCGCCACCGCACAAAUCCGGCGACUCGAGCACUGCGCGGUCGCCGAGCUCACGAGCGAGAGCUGCUCCCCCGCGGCUAGCGUGCAGCGGGGUAGAGCAACUCAAGUCGACGGCCACCCGCGACGCCGAACGCCUCCUGAGAGAACCGAUGUGUGGCGGAUUUGGGCAGCAGCGAGGGUUCGAUUUGGGCGAUUUGGGCGAGGAAGAGGGGGAGAAGGAACCGCCCACACCGCCUAAUGAGGGAGAGAGCCGUUUGCGAGAGAGGAGAUAAAGGCGGGCCCCACCUAGGCGAUUCGCUCGGGCUCGACCGCAUUCCACCUGACCCCACCACCACGCGCCUCGCCCCGACCAGGUUACACCUGGGCCCGACCGCGCGCGGGAUCGCGACGGAUCAGACGGCUAUCGACGCGUGUGCUCGUGGCGCCCGUUUAGUGCACGCGCACUUUGAAGAAAUUGGGUUUUAAUAUUAUUUUUACCUAUUAAUUUUGAAAAUUUACUAUUUAUUACUACUUUUAUACAUGGAAAACGCUUCGCUUCUACACGCCGGCCGAAGCGUUCGCCCGGUCGCUAUUUCCUCCUUUCACGCGGAGACAGGCUGGUGCGCGUGUUUUUUUCACUUUUUUCCUUUUCUCUACUUCUUCUUCCUCCCGCAUCCUUCAGAUCCCAUCCCAUCCCCUGCAGCACGAGCUCGCCGGAGUCGACGGUUCAACCCCCUGCUGCUUUCAUGGGUGCUCGCCCAAUCUUAUCUUCGCUGCGACCGGCAAGCCUGUCGUUGCUGCAACCACGUCCCUCAUCAUCGGCGUUGAGCCUUUGCAUGCUACAACCAUGGCGGAGAAAGUGCUCCGGCCGGCAUCGCCCACGGUUACAACCAUGAUGUCGCAGUGCUACAAGCGGCAACUAUCCGUGCUGGAACGGUAUAUGGGGCGUGCUGCAACCGUGAGGCAAAAAUGCUACAUCGCGGAGACCACGGUAAAAUAUCUUUUUGGUGCAUUUUUAGGGGUAGAUGGUGCCAAUCAUUUAAAAGUAGGUUUUGACACGGUACCUAACCGAAGACGCUUCGCUCGGCCUCUGUGCCGCUCCGCUCAGGCCCAUUCGGGUAGCGACGAAACCUUAGCUAGUCAGCUGUCUUCAUCACUAGUGGAGAGGAGGACACUCGGGAAGCCUGUGUCAUGUGUGGUCAUCAAGGAUAGAGCAGGGUGCCCGGGUGUUCCACCUCCCCCUGGGUCAUCGCGCGGUGGCAAGCGAUGGUCAUUGGCUUGGCAUGUAGUCCUCUCCUUUGAUCGGUCACAUCAUAUCUUAAGCUCGUGCACCUCCUACCUUUCAAGCGCCAGCCUACCGAGUAUGAUCUAUGGGGGCCUUUGGUCGCGGGACUUUUGUCUCUGGUUGGGGUGCUGGAGGGGUGGCUAAAUCCGAGAGAAAUCUUUUGUUGGUGUUGCCAGCCACAAUCUUGACGACUCCAAUGGCUGUUGUCUCCCUCCUUGUAGGCGCGAUCAAGGUACCUACCCCUCCCUCGUCCCCAGGUGAAAGCAUUUAUCUGUUAUGGAGUGGAUGACAACAUGCGUUCUCACCUUCUUGGAGGCAUCAUUUUGGGAGAGAGGUCUACGAGCCAAGGCGGUGUGGUUGAUAGACACUCGGUGGCGGUGUGGUUCGAGUUGACGUCAACGUCUUGCGUGUCGUCGUGUUUCCAGUUCAAUUGCAACUUAUUUUGGUCGUUCGUGCUCGGUUUGUGUGGGCUUGCUCGUCGGCGGGUCAGUGCCCAAAAAUCUGGGAGAGGAGGGGAUAGGCCCCCCACUGCAGCAACAUGGCUAUAGUAGUAAGAACAUGGUGUUGAUCUCUGCACACUCGAAUAUCACACAUAGUAGUGGAUGCGACAACUCAUAUCCAUUGUGCCUUCUUCUCCGAGGUCCUCAUCCUUAGCAACGUUUUCUCUUCGUGGGUGGUCAGGAGUUUUAACAAGGCUCCUAUCAAGGCGAGCCUGUCAUAGUGGGGUGGUCAGGCUAAGAAUCUCCCAUGGUGGCCCGGGGUUGGUACGUACCCAUCCCGACUCUAGGGUGAACAAGGUAAAAGGGCAGGGGUCCUUUUCAGAUGUGGAACAGGCUGGUACAACGUCGAUUCACCUCUCCCGGAGCAAAUACGGGUGUGUUUCACCAUGUUGGUUGUGUAUUAACCUCAAGAUCUUGCUUUUACUUACACUCUAGAGAUUCGUUCGUGAUGGAGGGCAUCAUCAACAUCAAGUUGGACUCUCUCUUAUUUUCACUUUUGCCGCUUGCUUGUUGUUCAUAUUGCUUAUAAGUUGUUCAAUCAACUCAUUGCACCUGUUGUUCUGGGAUUUAUUAAUUUAAAGUCAGGUCAAAUACAGGUUAUGAAAUUCCAUAAUACCACUGCUUUAAACAUUGCAUCCAAAUCAAAAUAGAUUUUCACAUUUUUCUUUCUUUCGAUGAGUAUUCAAAACAAGAUGAUGAUUUUAUAAGUUUUCAAGAUUGCCUUUUUCCAUUUUACACUAGUUUCUAUUGUAUUUACUGCAUUUUUUACACUUUUUUUUUCCUGGGGUGCUUUUAUAGUUACGUGUGUUGGUUUUGACUGUAUACAUCCUAGCUAUGUAGAGGCCGGUUGUAUGUUAUUUGUGUUUGUAUCCUCUUGAUGCUCCAUUUUGAAUCAAAAAUGCAUCCUUUGUCGGAAAAUGUAUGUUGUUUUUUCUUGGACUGUUAUAUUGGUUCCUAGUGUUUAUUUUCUGUCCUAAUGUGUUUUACACUAGUUUUCACCAUAUUUUGACAUUACUUUGCACUUCAUCUUUACACUAGUUUCGGUUCCAUCUUUGCACUAGUUGAUGUUGCAUCUUUAUACAAUUCUCUACUGUAUUUUUACAUUAGUCUCUAGGUUCUAUUGCACCUUUGGGGUCUACUGGAUUUUACAAUAGUUAUCGCUACAUUGUUGCACUAUUUUCGACCUCAUCUUUAUGGUAGUUUCUGUUGCAUCUCUACACUAGUUCCAUGGAGUGCAUGUGCCAAUUUAGUAUUUGUCGGUGGGCGCUUAUGAAAUAAAUUCAGCACACGGAUAAUGUUGCAUUUUAUUAAUGAGAAUCUGCUUGGACAAUGUUGCAUUUUAUUUAUGAGAGUCUGUUUGGACAAUGUUGUAGAUAAUAGGACUACUACAUCAGAAGGACAACACCCUUCUUUAUCGUCAUGGAGGGAAUGGAAGGGUUUGGGCGUUCUGUUGUUCACGGGGCUGGGCAUGACCAUCUUCAUAUCGGUACUUUUGGAAGUUCUUGAGCUGGACGACGACCUGUCCCUCUAUCUCACCAAUUUCUUCGAUUUCGUAUACAUGCUUGCCGCUGUUGUUGCUUCAAAAGAGGGCCUCUACGGGUUCUCUGCAGCCGAGAAGGCAUCGUUAAUCAUUAGUGAAAAGUUCUAUGAGAUAACUGUGGUGGGUGCGAUGUGUUUUUUCGUCCAGGGAAGUCUAGAAGAGGUCUACGCGAGUGCAAGAUUUUUACCUCGAAAGAAGGAAGUGGUGUUGGCACUCGUGAUAAGGGAGGACACGGCGUCUGACAUCUUACGGUACUCCGUCGCCGCGGCCUUUCUCACCGCCAUUCUGCAGGUAUUCCAGUGCUUGGUGAUCUUGGCGUUUUACGGUGGUGGCACACGCCCAAUGGUAAGCAAGGCCUUAAUAAUGGUGUAAUGCAAGCUUCACGAGCAAUUUCACAUCAGCGGCCCCUAGGCAACGAUGUCAGGGGCCCAUUUGCAGGAUCGGCAGCCCCUAGGCAACGAUGUCAGGGGCGUGCCUGCGGCGACGCACACGCAGCCGCUCCUUGAAGGCCUGUUCGGUUGAUAGGGAAAAUGAAGGGGUUUGGCAGGGAUUGGCAGGGAUUACACCCUCUACAAGUCAAAACCUCCUCCAAUCCACCCCAAUCCCCCUGUGAGGAGGUGUAACCGAACAAAGCCUAAAGCAGAGGCAGCAAGGGCGGGCUCUGCUUCUGGCGGGAGUGAUGCCAGCUCGAGUGCUGGAGGCCUGUCUCGCACACCAAACACGAGGACGGCACGGCCCAGGAGAAAGACCAGGCCUAACCCGAAAUACGAUCCGCGUGUGUGGCAGUUGUUGUGACGGUUGUGGCGCUUCCCCCAUUGUUGUGCUGAACCCUCUACUGCCACGCUAACAAACGAUCACCGGCAGCUGCUGCGGUGUAUCGACUAGACGAAGAACAAAUGCUGUUCUGAAACUUGUUAUUUCGACA
rnacentral:lncRNA from 1 species